GCCCUGGUGGCACAGUGGUUAAAUGUCUGUACUGCAGCUCACAAGGUUGUGAGUUCAAUUCCAGCCAGGGGCU
rnacentral:tRNA from 1 species